UCUUUUUUGUGCAUGGGUUAUGGCAUUUUUUUUUGUGUAUUUAGCAAGGGGGGAGUGAAUAGUGCAUAUUGUGAUUAAAAGGUAGAAAAGGUAGGUAUUACAUUAGCUGAUUUCCGAAUUGUAAUACAAAGUGAGUUGUGACCGUUUAUCCAACCUAUCAACUUGCUAACGUAGGUCUGACUGCAAUGUUUCUUCUACUAGUCUCUCACUGUAUUAAUCAGUUGGCUAUGUAUAGUCAUACUUCUUGAGAAUCACACUAUAAAGACGUAUUCCAGUCAAUUCUUCCGUCACGUAGUAGAGUAGCUUCGAUGAUAGCCAUACCACAUUUAGUAUUUGAUAAAAAUCAGCUUAAAGGUUUUUUAAUGGAGGUAAGUAGUUACAUUACUGUAUGCGUGUGUUCGCUUAUAAUCGUUUUAGUUCAAAGAAAGUUGUCGUUGAUAUGACAAUUUGUUAAUAAGCGAACAUACCCGAUAAUUGAUUUUAAAGGAAUGAUGGGCCCACUAGGCCAACUUACUAUUCUUUUCUCCUGUCCGCAGCGCCAGAAAUGCAGUACUUCAAGAUCUCCAUCUCCCAUCAGGUUCCAACUUCUGACAUGGAAUAACACUGGCCUAGGUUCUAUUGAACUCAGUUCAAGCGAUACCUCCAACUUACCAUGCCUGUCUGCCAGUAAUCUACGAACGUGAACGGGUACGAGAGGCAGCGUGUCGUCGUCGUCCCUCCUGUGUGCGUGGUCCUUCCCAGGCGAGAUCGGAAUAAUAAGGCUAAGGAUUCUAGAUGGGCAGCCUUAUAAAGGUAGGAUUUUUCUUUUCUAUGCAUGGGCUUUUUAUUUUUUAUGUAUUUAGCAGUGGGGGAAAAGUGAAAAGUGCAUACAGUGAUUAAAGUGGAAAUCCGCGAUUCAUUUUAGCUAUCGUUCGUGUUGUAAUUCUAAAUAGAUUGUGGCUACCUUCUCGGCCUAUCGUUCUGGUGACUGCAGUAAUUCUUUGAAUUGACUUUUUCGCGACGUCAAUCAGUUUACCUACCGUGAAUUAGUAUGACUAUGACUUCAUAGCCAUACCAAUCUCGUGAAGUAAAUUGAUUUUCUCUGCGAAUCAGACUAGCUAAUUAUUACGUUCUCCAGGUGAAUGUCUGCGAGGGUGGCUAUAGCCCAUUUAUUAAUCACACGAAGAUAAAUGCAUUGGUUUUUAAAAGAAGGUUAGUAAUUAAAUCGUUACCUAUAGACGUAUUCGUUAAUUAAUUAGUCUUAUCUUAACUCUUCCCUCAUACGAUGAGAUAGGUGACUAAAUGAGACUGAUUAUGAAAUGAACACGCCUUAAGCGUAUACUUUGGUGGUUGUACUAAUCUCAUCAAUUAUUCACAGCACCAUCUGCUGGCCAGGAUUUACCAUUAUCAACAUCUGUGAUGGACCAGAUCGGAUUUAACUACGCUCGAUUCUGGCAGUUAUUGAUGAUGAAAAUACCCAUACCACAUCACUCCAGUUUACCAAUAGGCGGUCUAUCAACGUCAACAAGUGCGAUUACCUCCUGUUAGGCUGGAUCUCAUCAAUAAGGCCAAAGGGUUAAAUGUGGUCGAUUGAACACAAUUUCGUUCAUAUCAUUUGAAUUCGAACCGAACUGGCCAGGAUUUACCAUUAAGUAUCAAUCUAUGCGAUGGAUUCAAGUCUACCCUCGAUUUUUCCGAAGAAGCCCAAAGUUCAUUCAGACAAGUUAUUGGUGACGAAGAUACCUAUAGUUCAUCAUUCCAGUUUGCAACGUCAACGUCCUGUGGUUAAUGUUCCAUCCAGGCGAGUCCCAAUUAGUAAGGCUAAAGGAUUCCAAAAGGGCAGCCUUAUAAAG